UUUAAAAUAAACAAGUGACAAAUUUUAAAUGAUAUAUAUAUCUCACUCUCGCACAUUUCCGGUGGGAAAAAUGCAGUUUAAAAAAAGACGGUGCAUCUCUGCGAUCAAAGUGCAAUAAAUAACAACAAGACUGGUUUUUAAUUGAUUAUUCUAUUAAACAAGAUUUAUGAAACAGUGGAGUAUAUUUGUUUUGCGGUUCUGCUGAUAAGUGAAAUAUUUAUAAUCUAAAUUUUGUGGUGGAUACAUUUCUACCCAUCGUCUACAGGGUGCCUCAGAUGUACUAUCGCACAAAUGCUGGGAGCAGGGUGGCAAAUGUCAGAUAACCAGUAUGUCCUGGUAGCGUUGGAGGCGUUGAACACGUGAUGAAUGUGCAUAAGUUGGACUACCUUAUGUUUAAGGAACUCUAAAUCCAGUACUGGAAUUGUUCUGGUUUUAAC